UACGUAGGGUGCGAGCGUUAAUCGGAAUUACUGGGCGUAAAGCGUGCGCAGGCGGUCUGUUAAGACCGAUGUGAAAUCCCCGGGCUUAACCUGGGGAACUGCAUUGGUGACUGGCAGGCUUGAGUGUGGCAGAGGGAGGUAGAAUUCCACGUGUAGCAGUGAAAUGCGUAGAGAUGUGGAGGAACACCGAUGGCGAAGGCAGCCCCCUGGGUCAAGAUUGACGCUCAUGCACGAAAGCUGGGGAGCAAACAGG
rnacentral:rRNA from 1 species